GCCCGGGUGGCUCAGCGGUUGAGCACCUGUCUUUGGUCCAGGGCGUGACCCCAGGGUCCUGGGAUCAAGUCCCACGUCGGGCU
rnacentral:tRNA from 1 species